AUGUAUUCUGCCACAAAUGAUGAGACUGAUGACGAGACUGAAGGGACAUUUUCUCGAUUUGACGUUGUAUUUUUCAAUGUAAUAUCGUACAAUAUUUGUUCAUUUAAAGAUGAAUCGGCAAUCUGAUGGCACACUUUCAUUAAAAUGUGAUUUAUGCAUAGUCUACAUUUGAAAACUAAUGCAAGUUAAAUUUGUUGGUAUUACAGGGUUGAAAACAUCAUCAUAUAAUGCGGAUUGAAAAUACAUAAUAUGAUAGGCACGUUGACUUGAAAAAAUUCGUCGACUGCAAAAACAAGAUGGCGACAUGCCAGGCAAGCUUCCAUUUUAUUGGACGUAAAAAUGCAUAAAAAGGUUGCGGACAUGAUUUGAUGACCUAAAUGAGGUUAUAUUGAAGACGAAUUAUCUUACAUGGUGCAAGAAUUUCGCGCCAGAGUGGAAAGGAAGGGCCCUUAUUGAUUGUAUUGAUAAUAGAAAUAAUUGUCUCAAUAAAAUGAUUUAAACAAUUACAAUA
rnacentral:sRNA from 1 species